rnacentral:misc_RNA from 1 species
CAACCCUCAAGCUCAGCUUGGUCUUGGGCUCUGCCGGCAGCGGCUGGCCCCAAAAGCAGUGGCGGUGCCAUCGAGCUCUACGCGUAGUAGUGAAACCCUCGCGUGUGAGUCCCGGUGGACGCUGGCCAGCAAACCCCCAACUUCUUU